rnacentral:lncRNA from 1 species
CACCUGCCCUGAGAGCCCUGCCCAGCUCGGCUGGUGAAGACCCCCCACCCCCUGCCACCCUCUCCUGUGGGCUCCUCAAAGCCACCCCCUCUGGAUCUAAUAGCAGCACCACUCGGAGAGCAUGCCCUUCGCUCCAGGGGCUUCAGAGCAUUUCUUUCCGCACAAACCUAACUAGACCUCCAGUGACACCAGCUUGGGUCAAGCCACUACCUUUGCUCCAGGUCGGAGCCUUGUGAUUGCCACCCACCUCUCACUGCCAUGUGAAUGGGCCGCUCAAAGGUGGCAGGUCCCUGACAUAUGUGGCCAUGGUGCUCCAUGGUGCAGUUGUAGGAGGACCUGUGACCCUGCCACCUGCCUCCCACUCCUCCCUUUAUGUACCUGAUCUGCCUGUGCCAGCCUAGAAUGCCACUCGCCCCCAUGCCUAGCAUGGCUCCCGGCACAGACAGGACACCUGCAGAUGAGUGCUGAAUGAAGAGACCUCCGAGGAUGCUUGGUGACAUGGGGCUUUGGAGCCUGGUCUGGCACUUGGCACUAAGCCAUGUGUUACAAAUCGAUUCAUUUAAUUAAUCUCCACAACUACCCUAGGAGGAAGGCACA